GGAUAUAGCUCAAGUGGUAGAGCACAUGCUUAGCAUGCACAAGGUCCUGGGUUCAAUCCCCAGUACUCCA
rnacentral:tRNA from 1 species